UGGCACUGCUCCAUCUGCCGCCGCCGCUAGUGUGCUUCGGCGGGACUCAGACGUCGUGGUACGGCUCCAUCUGCCGCCGUCUCCACUGUGCUUCGGCAGGACUGGAGAUGGACAAGUGGAUUAUAAUGGACAGCGGGCGGCAGUGGAUGUAUCGACGGGGAGGCGAAUGACCUGCAGCUCUUUCCUCCUCUUUGGACUGGAAGAACGGAGAAUGGGAAGGAGCAAGAGAUUGGCG
rnacentral:lncRNA from 1 species